rnacentral:piRNA from 1 species
UUGGUAAUUUUUUUAAUUACG